rnacentral:rRNA from 1 species
CCUACGGGAGGCAGCAGUGGGGAAUAUUGGACAAUGGGGGGAACCCUGAUCCAGCGACGCCGCGUGAGUGAAGAAGUAUUUCGGUAUGUAAAGCUCUAUCAGCAGGGAAGAAAGAAAUGACGGUACCUGACUAAGAAGCCCCGGCUAACUACGUGCCAGCAGCCGCGGUAAUACGUAGGGGGCAAGCGUUAUCCGGAUUUACUGGGUGUAAAGGGAGCGUAGACGGCGAUGCAAGUCUGAAGUGAAAGGCGGGGGCGCAACCCCCGGACUGCUUUGGAAACUGUAUGGCUGGAGUGCAGGAGAGGUAAGUGGAAUUCCUAGUGUAGCGGUGAAAUGCGUAGAUAUUAGGAGGAACACCAGUGGCGAAGGCGGCUUACUGGACUGUAACUGACGUUGAGGCUCGAAAGCGUGGGGAGCAAACAGGAUUAGAUACCCCUGUAGUC